UAUGCCAAGAGAUUCUCUUAGGGAACCGAGAUAAACACUCAGGUCUAGGACAGGGCAUCUUUUGCGCGAUAAUCAAAAAGAGAGAAAAACACCCCAUGGGGGGGGGAGAGAGAAUGAAUCUGGCUGUUGAAACUGAUCACAUGCCAAACAUAAAUCAGAUGGGUGAUGCCUUCGCUGGAAAAGCCAAUCCCUUGACAGGGCUGGUGAGAAGGAAAUGCCAGGCGUGUGCAAAUCUUCGCCCUGAACUUUUGCUUCGGGUGAACAUUUCAAGGGCUGCCGCCGGGGUGCCUGGACUUGCAUCGUUUGGGACGGGUGAGAAUGGCAAGGAAGGAAUGCGUCAUCAACCCUUCCCUUCGCCCGGACAUGAGCAUCGCCGGCUUCGCCUCCAUCCUGCCCGGGCCAUGGUUGGGCACUGAACGGAGCUCGUUCAGCAGCUCUGUACAGGCACCGGCAGAUGACCUCGUGAGCUCCUGCCAGCUGCGUGCAAAUAACCGGCAUAACCAGAUUAAUGAGUGGCUGCCUAUGCCCAAACUGUGGUUUGUUUAAAUGUUGGCUAGUUUUGUGGGAGGGGACGCAUUGGAGAAGAGGAACGGGAAAGGCAACAGACAUCUUUAUAGUCUUUAAAGCAAUUCAUUAAAUGCUUGCUAAUCAAUUA